rnacentral:rRNA from 1 species
AAUGAACGCUGGCGGCAGGCCUAACACAUGCAAGUCGAACGGAUCCUUCGGGAUUAGUGGCGGACGGGAGAGUAACGCGUGGGAACAUACCCUUUGGUACGGAAUAGCCUCGGGAAACUGGGAGUAAUACCGUAUGUGGUCGAGAGACGAAAGAUUUAUCGCCAAAGGAUUGGCCCGCGUUGGAUUAGGUAGUUGGUGGGGUAAUGGCCUACCAAGCCGACGAUCCAUAGCUGGUUCGAGAGGAUGAUCAGCCACACUGGGACUGAGACACGGCCCAGACUCCUACGGGAGGCAGCAGUGGGGAAUCUUAGACAAUGGGGGAAACCCUGAUCUAGCCAUGCCGCGUGAUCGAUGAAGGCCUUAGGGUUGUAAAGAUCUUUCAGGUGGGAAGAUAAUGACUGUACCACCAGAAGAAGCCCCGGCUAACUCCGUGCCAGCAGCCGCAGUAA